UACGUAGGGUGCAAGCGUUGUCCGGAAUUAUUGGGCGUAAAGAGCUCGUAGGCGGUCUGUUGCGUCGGCUGUGAAAACCCGGGGCUCAACUCCGGGCUUGCAUUCGAUACGGGCGGACUAGAGUUCGGUAGGGGAGACUGGAAUUCCUGGUGUAGCGGUGAAAUGCGCAGAUAUCAGGAGGAACACCGGUGGCGAAGGCGGGUCUCUGGGCCAUUACUGACACUGAGAAGCGAAAGCAUGGGGAGCGAACAGG
rnacentral:rRNA from 1 species